UACGAAGGGGGGCGAGCGUUGUUCGGAAUUACUGGGCGUAAAGGGCGCGUAGGCGGUGUGUCAAGUCAGGCGUGAAAGCCCCGGGCUCAACCUGGGAACGGCGCUUGAGACUGGCACGCUCGAGUUCGGGAGAGGAUGGUGGAAUUCCCAGUGUAGAGGUGAAAUUCGUAGAUAUUGGGAAGAACACCGAUGGCGAAGGCAGCCAUCUGGACCGACACUGACGCUGAGGCGCGAAAGCGUGGGGAGCAAACAGG
rnacentral:rRNA from 1 species